ensembl:lncRNA
CCAUCCUUCAGCCCACCACUGUAGCAUUAAAACAAGCAGGGAGUUUCCUGGUGACCUAGCAGUUAAAGGAUCCGGUGUUGUCACUGCUGUGAUGUGGGUUUUAUCCCUGGCCCAGGAACUUCUGCAUGCUUCAGAAACAGCCAAUAAACAAACAAACAAACAAACAAAUAUUAGAAACACUCCAGUUUGUUAGGAUGACAAACUCAUCCUGGUUUGCUUGAAACCUUCUCAGAUUUUGGCACUAGAAGUCUUGCGCCCUGGGAGGUCCCUCAGGCCUGGGUAAAGCACAGUGGUCGCUCACCUUAUUUGGUAGACACAAUAAGUGUUUAAUGGAAUGUGUAAAUUAACAGCAAAUAGAUCAUGAAUUUACCAACUUAGGAGGAAUCUUAGAAUGUCAUUUCUAAAAGCAGUUUUCCUUUCACGAUGCAAAUGCCAGUACUACCAAGGAGGUCCCCACUGGUAAUAUCUAUUCAUUAGCUGAGGCUUAAGGAAUCCCAGAAGAGGGAGAAGGGAUUUCAGGUUAUUUGAGGAAAAAAAGGACAUGCAUUUCCUUGGAUCGUCUGGAGGCAAAGAUUUAUGAGACCUCCGCAACCUCAUCUUUCACCUGUGAAGGAGAUGGUUUCAAAAUAUAAUUUAAAAAUACAAGAUCUGAAACAUGUUUGGAGACUGAGGAAAAUGAAAAAAGCUCACAAGAGGGACUUGGACCCAGGAGACAGCCUGGGAUUUACUGUCAGGAGCAUGACUGCAGAACUCUGGGCCUUGGUUUCCUCAUUUAUCACAUGAGGUUGAAGUCGCAUGAGUUUCAAGAAGAACAAACAAGGUCUCACACUGAAAUUGCAGUGACCAGCGUAGAGCAUCUUGAGUGUUUCUUAACCUUAGGCAAGAUAAUAUCCUCCUCUGCCUCAGUUUCUCCACCUGCACAUGAGCGUUCAGUCAGUCAGUCAACAGAGAUUCAUUGAGGGUCUUGUGUGUGUCAGCACUCCUUUGCCACAGGGUUACAGCCGUGACUAAAACAGGCAAAAUCCUCUUCUCACAACAGUUAUAUUCUGGGAUAGGAGACAAAUAAAUAUAUGAUGGGAGUUCCUGUGUGGCUUAGUGGGUCAAGGAUCUGGUGGUGUCCCUGCUGUGAUGUGGCUUUGAUCCCUGGCCCAGGAACUUCCGCAUCGCAUGCCAUAGGCACUGCCAAAGAGGAGAAGAAUACCUGCUGGGGUGAGAAGUGCUAACAAUAAAAGUAAACAAAUAAAUAAGAAAAAGAACAGCUGGGAGGAUAUUACUUUAUCUUAUUUAAAAUUCUUUUUCUUUUUUGGCCACCACGGGCAUAUGAGUUCUUGUUAUCAGAUCCGAGCCAUAGCUGAGAUCAGACAGCUAUGGCAAUGCUGGAUCCUUAACCCACUGUGCUGGGCCAGGGAUCCAACCUGUGUCCUGGUGCUGCCAGGAUGCUGCAUAAACGCUGCUGAUCCCGUUGUGUUGCAGUGGGAACUCCUAAUUUUUUAUUUUUUUUCUACUUUUUUUUUUUUCUUUCUGGGAGGAGAUUUGAUUACGGACACGAAGGAAAGGACAGUGAAGAGUCUGGGACAGAGUGUGUCAGUCACAGGGAACAGCAAAGAACUGCAAAGGCCCUGAGGUAGGAGGGGCUUGUGUUCAAAAAACAGAAAGGAGGCCUUGAAGCUGAAACGGGGGAGCCAAGAGAGGAGGUGAGAAAUGAGAUGCGAGGGAAUGAGAGAGGUGGCGCAAAGCACAGUGGCUGAUGAGCUGAGGAAAGAAGGGCUUUGGAUUUUAACUUAGCCAGACGGGAGGCAACGGGAAGGUUUGAGCAGAGGAGCGACCUGAUUUGACGUCCCUCUUCAGAUGGUCACUCCAGCUACUGCCAGGGGGUGGACAUGGGGCAAAGGGAGGAGCAAAGGGACCAGGUCGGAGGCUCUUGCAACCAUCUGAGGGUGGACAAGGGACGGGGAUGGCCGUGCUGAAGUGGUUGGUUCCAGGUUACAUUUUGAAGAUACACAGAGGCUUCUGGUUGAUUGGAUGUGAGGAGGGAUAGAAUACAGGAUGCCCAGUUACAUCCGCAUUUCAGAGAAUAGCAAAUAAUGUUUUAGGAUAGGUGUGUCCCCAGUCCUGCUGGGAAUAGGCUUGCUAAAACACUAGAUGUUGUUUAUCUGGAAUUCAAAGUUCACUGGGCAUCUGGUAUUUUUAGUUGCCAUAUCUGACAACCCUAGAUGUGGGCCUGAGAAAAGGGAGGAGUCAAGGAUGACGUCCACAUUUUGGUCUGAAAAACCAAAAAAAAGGAAUUGUCUUUUUUAGAGAGGUGAAGAAAUUUAGCGACGGGGAGGUACAGUUAAAGCAGUCCCAAUUUAAACCUGUUAAGUUUGAAAUACUUAUUAAACAGCUGGAGAGAAAUAUUGUACAGGCAGCUAACUGAGUCCGGAGUUUAGGGGUGAAGUGAUGGGUGGGAGAUAGACAUUUAGUAAUAGUCAUGGUGGAGAAAGUAUUUUUUUAAAUUUUAUUUUCUUUUUAUUACAGUACAGUUGAUUUAUAGCGUUGUGUCAAUUUCUGCUAUACAGCAUAGUGACCCAGUCACAGACAUAUAUAUAUAGUUCAUGCAUUGUCUUAUACUGUCUUCCAUCAUGUUCUAGCCCAAGAGUUUGGAUAUAGUGCCCUGUGCUGUACAGUAGGACAUUAUUGCUUUUCCAUUCUAAAUGUGAUAGUUUGCAUCUACUAACCCCAAACUCCCCAUCCAUCUCCCUUCCUUCUCCUUCCCCCGUUGGCAACCACAAGUCUGUCCUCUGUGUCUGUGAAUCUGUUUGUGUUCUAUAGAUAGGUUUAUUUGUGCCAUAUUUUAGAUUCUACAUAUAAGUGAUAUCAUAGGAUAUUAGUCUUUCUCUUUCUGACUUGCUUCACUUCAUAUAAGAAUCUCUAGCUGCAUCUAUGUUGCUGCAAAUGGCAUUAUUUUGUUCUUUUUUAUAGCUGAGUAGUAUUCCAUUGCACAUAGGUACCAUAUCUUAAUCCAUUCAUCUGUCCAUGAACAUUUAGGUUUUUCCAUGUUUUAGCUCUUGUGAAUAGUGCUGCAAUGAACAUAGUGGUGCAUGUAUCUUUCUGAAUUAUCGUUUUCUCCAGAUAUAUGCCUAGGAGUGGGAUUGCUGGAUCAUAGUUUAGAAGGUAUUUGAAGCUACAAGGUUGAAUGAGAUCACCUAGGAAUUGAGUUUAGUUACAGAAAAGAAGAGCCUCUGAAACUGAACCUAGAUCCACCAGUGUUGAGAGGCAGCCAAAGAAAGGAACACAAUAGGCCCAUUCACAGGGCUCUUCACUCAUAGUCUUAAGGGGUAAGUGAACACAUGUAACAGACUUAGAACCAGCAGCCAGCAAGUGCUUAAUAAACGUAAGCCUCUAUGACUUAUUUAUUUAGCAACCUGAUUCCCUAAGGGUUUGAGUAAGACAAUAUUCACUAACUCCAGAAAUAGGUACCGAGUGGCUACUUUCUGCUAAAUGCUGAUCUGGGUGCUGGGGGGUUAGCAGGAACAAAAGGGACAGAAUUCUGUGCCCUCUAGAGAGGUGAAGGAGGGACAGACAAUCAACAAAGCAGGUCAGUAAAACAUGUAAUAGAUCAAGGCGGGGAGGAGAUUUCCCCAGCUGGAAAUAAAGUCCCGGAGGCAGGGAUAAGGUGCAACCAUUUUUAAUUCGAUGGGCCUGGGAGGCAUUACUGAGAUAGUGACAUUUGCAAGUGAGGGAGAAGAGCAGAUGGGGAACAGAAUUCUUGGUGGAGGGAAUAGCAAGUGCAAAGGCAAUGAGGUGGGAACCUGCUUGAUGUGCUCAAGGAGCCAGGGUGACGUGUACAGUGUGAGUCAGGGGAAGAGCAGCGGUGGUGACGUCAGGGUGGGGGCCUUAUAAGUCAUCAUCUUUUACUCCCAGGGGGAGGAGAGCUGGUGGCAGCUGAACUGACCUCCACCCACGUCCCAUUUUUGAGGAGUUUUUUUGUGCGCCAAAUUUUCCUAUGAGGAAACAAUAAAAGCAGACGGCUCGUUAUCGUCAAGGUCUCUAAAAACAAAAAAUCGGGUACAGUUGGUAAUGACUUGGCUUUCGGAAUUUUAAAGUUCAUUCAUUCUUUCAUUCAACAAGCAUUUAUUGGUCAUAGGAAAUAAAAACUGGCCUUGCAAUGCUGAUAAAAGUGAUGACACCAAGACUAAAUGUUUAGUAUUAUUUAUGUAAUUAAUAUAAUGCCCCGUCCUGGAUUCAUGUCAAUUUCAUGAACUACGGGCCAUGUAGGAGUUUCAGUGGAAAAGCUUCAGUUUACAGAUGAGGAAACUGAGGCCCGAAACGUUAGGCAGCUUAGCUGGUGGAGAAAGUGGUACUAGUCUCUUUUCUGUCACAGAGGCGUCUAUAAACCAUGGGGUCUCUCCUCUUUUCUUUUUGUAUCUCCAUUGGCACCAGAUACUGUGCUGGGUAAAAUAAUAUGGUUCAAGUCAAAAAGUACAGGCCGAUUCCCAGAUUCCCAUGCUAUUCUGCUGUUCAUUAAAAGAGCCAGUGGUGAAAAGGCCAUCCCCUCCCUUUUUCCCUUUGCCUGUAUCAAAAUGCAGAAAGUGGUAUCUGUAGGAAUUCAAAUCCAUUGUCACUGCCACACUGAGCCAUUCAGCUGCGUGGGUCGGUGCAACUCAAGGAGUGUCCCAUUGAACUGUAGGCAUCAUGGAAAAGCUGCCCCGUCUGGGACAAGGGAUUUAAUUCACUGGCCCCAUUUUUUAUAUCCUGAAAGUGAAAGAUUCUAAGAGGUGAUCUCUGAAGUCUCUUCCAGCUUGGAAAUUUUAAGAUUCUGAUGGGAUAGCCGCUUGGGAGUUAGUGCACAAAGAAGACACAGGUGGAGGAAAACGGACCUCCUCUGCUUUUGCUUCAUUUUCUAUGUGGCUAAAGCUGGCUCCCGAAAUGCAAAUAACCUGUAUCUUCUGACCCUUGAAAAAAAAUCUGUCUUUCGAUGACUUUUGUUAUCUCUGAUUCACAGUCAGCUUUGAGUGUGUAUGACUCUUUAUAAUGAAUGCUUGAGUCAGCCUUGCUUACACAUUGUUGGGGGCAUG